UACUGGUAGCUCUAAGCCAGGGGCGGUAGCGUG
rfam:Bacteria symbiont BFo2 of Frankliniella occidentalis strain BFo2 contig3, whole genome shotgun sequence.